GACAGAGGCCUCGAGCGUUAGGCGGAAUCACUGGGCUUAAAGCGUGUGUAGGCGGAUCGUUAAGUACCUUGUGAAAUCCCACGGCUCAACCGUGGAACGGCUGGGUAUACUGGCGGUCUUGGGCCAUUCAGGGGCGACUGGAACGAGCGGUGGAGCGGUGAAAUGCGUAGAUAUCGCUUGGAACGCCGAAGGUGAAAACAGGUCGCUGGGGAUGUGCCGACGCUGAGACACGAAAGCCAGGGGAGCAAACGGG
rnacentral:rRNA from 1 species